GGAGAGAUGGCUCAGUGGUUAAGAGCACUGACUGCUCUUCCAGAGGCCCUGAGUUCAAUUCCCAGCAACCACA
rnacentral:tRNA from 1 species